GAUGAACGCUGGCGGCGUGCCUAAUACAUGCAAGUCGAGCGAAUGGAUUAAGAGCUUGCUCUCAUGAAGUUAGCGGCGGACGGGUGAGUAACACGUGGGUAACCUGCCCAUAAGACUGGGAUAACUCCGGGAAACCGGGGCUAAUACCGGAUAACAUUUUGAACCGCGUGGUUCGAAAUUGAAAGGCGGCUUCGGCUGUCACUUAUGGAUGGACCCGCGUCGCAUUAGCUAGUUGGUGAGGUAACGGCUCACCAAGGCAACGAUGCGUAGCCGACCUGAGAGGGUGAUCGGCCACACUGGGGCUGAGACACGGCCCAGACUCCUACGGGAGGCAGCAGUAGGGAAUCUUCCGCAAUGGACGAAAGUCUGACGGAGCAACGCCGCGUGAGUGAUGAAGGCUUUCGGGUCGUAAAACUCUGUUGUUAGGGAAGAACAAGUGCUAGUUGAAUAAGCUGGCACCUUGACGGUACCUAACCAGAAAGCCACGGCUAACUACGUGCCAGCCGCCGCAGUAA
rnacentral:rRNA from 1 species